ACAGCCCCGUCGGCAUGGGGACGCGCAGCUGGUGGGAUCUCGCCAUGGCCUGGGCCCCUCUCCUCCUCGCGGUGCUCGCCCACACCUCAGGUUCCCUGGUCCAGGCAGCGAUUACUCAGCCGGCCUCGAAGUCAGUGAACCCGGGAGACACCGUGCAGAUCACCUGCUCCGGGAGCAGCAACAACUAUGGCUGGUACCAGCAGAAGACCCCUGUCACUGGCCCUGUCACCGUGAUCUACAACAGCAGCCAGAGACCCUCGGGCAUCCCUUCACGAUUCUCUGGUUCCAAAUCUGGCUCCGUGAGCACGUUAGCCAUCACAGAAUCACAGAAUCACAGAAUCACAGAACUGUAGGGGUUCGAAGGGUCC